rnacentral:rRNA from 1 species
CGCAAAUGGCGGCAAGCUACACAUGCAGUCGAACGGUAACAGGAAACAGCUUGCUUUUUUGCUGACGAGUGGCGGACGGGUGAGUAAUGUCUGGGAAACUGCCUGAUGGAGGGGGAUAACUACUGGAAACGGUAGCUAAUACCGCAUAACGUCGCAAGACCAAAGAGGGGGACCUUCGGGCCUCUUGCCAUCGGAUGUGCCCAGAUGGGAUUAGCUAGUAGGUGGGGUAACGGCUCACCUAGGCGACGAUCCCUAGCUGGUCUGAGAGGAUGACCAGCCACACUGGAACUGAGACACGGUCCAGACUCCUACGGGAGGCAGCAGUGGGGAAUAUUGCACAAUGGGCGCAAGCCUGAUGCAGCCAUGCCGCGUGUAUGAAGAAGGCCUUCGGGUUGUAAAGUACUUUCAGCGGGGAGGAAGGGAGUAAAGUUAAUACCUUUGCUCAUUGACGUUACCCGCAGAAGAAGCACCGGCUAACUCCGUGCCAGCAGCCGCGGUAAUACGGAGGGUGCAAGCGUUAAUCGGAAUUACUGGGCGUAAAGCGCACGCAGGCGGUUUGUUAAGUCAGAUGUGAAAUCCCCGGGCUCAACCUGGGAACUGCAUCUGAUACUGGCAAGCUUGAGUCUCGUAGAGGGGGGUAGAAUUCCAGGUGUAGCGGUGAAAUGCGUAGAGAUCUGGAGGAAUACCGGUGGCGAAGGCGGCCCCCUGGACGAAGACUGACGCUCAGGUGCGAAAGCGUGGGGAGCAAACAGGAUUAGAUACCCUGGUAGUCCACGCCGUAAACGAUGUCGACUUGGAGGUUGUGCCCUUGAGGCGUGGCUUCCGGAGCUAACGCGUUAAGUCGACCGCCUGGGGAGUACGGCCGCAAGGUUAAAACUCAAAUGAAUUGACGGGGGCCCGCACAAGCGGUGGAGCAUGUGGUUUAAUUCGAUGCAACGCGAAGAACCUUACCUGGUCUUGACAUCCACAGAACCUUGUAGAGAUACGAGGGUGCCUUCGGGAACUGUGAGACAGGUGCUGCAUGGCUGUCGUCAGCUCGUGUUGUGAAAUGUUGGGUUAAGUCCCGCAACGAGCGCAACCCUUAUCCUUUGUUGCCACCGGUCCGGCCGGGAAUUCAAAGGAGACUGCCCUUGAUAAACUGGAGGAAGAGUGGGGGAGAAAGUCAAAUCAUCAUGGGCCCUUUAAACAAGGGGUACAACAUGGUUAAAUGGGGGCAUAAAAAAGAAACCACCUCCCGAGAGAAAGGGACUCCUAAAAGGGGGCAAUACCCGGAGGGGUGAGGCCCCCUCCUCCCCCUAAUUAGGAAUCGCUAGUAAUCGUGGAUCAGAAUGCCACGGUGAAUACGUUCCCGGGCCUUGUACACACCGCCCGUCACACCAUGGGAGUGGGUUGCAAAAGAAGUAGGUAGCUUAACCUUCGGGAGGGCGCUUACCACUUUGUGAUUCAUGACUGGGGUGAAGUCGUAACAAGUACGCUAUGCCCC